rnacentral:lncRNA from 1 species
GGCUCACGCUUGUAAUCCCAGCACUUUGGGAGGCCGAGGCGGGCAGAUCACGAAGUCAGAAGAUCGAGACCAUCCUGGCUAACACGGGACUCAAGACUGGAAUGGGAAGAGCAUGAAAUUGAGCUGUCUAUCCCCCUGGAUCUCUCAUUGCCACCUGCCCAUAGGUUGGCUGCACCCCUCCACCAAAGAAAGGCCAUGACUCCUUCCUGGCAGCCCUGUCUUACAGCUACUCUCUGGUGAUCUGGGAACCACUCCCUCCCUUACCCCUUGAUGCCUAGGGCUAGUGCCAGCACCUUGUUGUUGUUAGCCUCAGAGGCACUUGCACUGUUCCUUGAUGGUUUUCCCAAAUCUUGCCCUCAUCUUUGUAAAUACUGUUUGCCGUUUAUUACACUGUCAUCAUAUUACCC